rnacentral:rRNA from 1 species
CCUACGGGAGGCAGCAGUGCGGAAUAUUGGUCAAUGGGCUUACGCCUGAACCAGCCAAGUCGCGUGAGGGAAGACUGCCCUAUGGGUUGUAAACCUCUUUUGUCAGGGAGCAACGCCGGCUACGUGUAGCCGGACUGAGAGUACCUGAAGAAGAAGCAUAGGCUAACUCCGUGCCAGCAGCCGCGGUAAUACGGAGGUUGCGAGCGUUAUCCGGAUUUAUUGGGUUUAAAGGGUGCGUAGGUUGUUUUUUAAGUCAGCGGUGAAAGUUUGUGGAUCAACCAUAAAAUUGCCGUUGAAACUGGAAGACUUGAGUGUGUGUGAGGUAGGCGGAAUGCGUGGUGUAGCGGUGAAAUGCAUAGAUAUCACGCAGAACUCCGAUUGCGAAGGCAGCUUACUAAGCCAUAACUGACACUGAAGCACGAAAGCGUGGGGAUCAAACAGGAUUAGAUACCCCUGUAGUC